GGAUGAGGGAUUUAGAAGGAGCUGGAAGAGGAAGUGUACCGGGAGAACCACACAGCAACUGACAGGAAAGUAUGGACUUCUGGGCCACACUGUGGAGCUGAGAUGUCACCUCGAGCCCUCUCUUCUGGCUGCUCAUCUCUUCGUGCACAGUACUCGAGAUUAUAGGUCUGCCCAGAGAGCCUGCAUUCGUGAGAUGAUGAUGGACUCCCCUUCCUCUUCAGCUAUCAGAAAGCCCUCUGCAGCUCAGAGCAAAGAUACACAUGUUGGCGCUGGGCUUCACAGCUCAUUGUCUUGGGCACAGGAGUCCUGGUGGUCUGGGACUGGUGUGGGAAGACUGACAAGAUGGAAGAUGCGUUCCUGGAGGGGCUUGGGCUCUAUGCCCUGCUCUGGGAGUCCUUGUCUGGUACAGAUUCCAGGGGAAGGGGAGCCUGGGGUGAGAGUGUGUGCCACGUCUGGGCAGAAGAACUCUGGAAGCCACAGGUCAUGCCCCACUAACCCUUGCUU
rnacentral:lncRNA from 1 species